UACAGAGGGUGCAAGCGUUGUUCGGAAUUAUUGGGCGUAAAGCGCGUGUAGGCGGCUUUGCAAGUCGGGUGUGAAAGCCCUCAGCUCAACUGAGGAAGUGCGCCCGAAACUGCAGAGCUUGAGUACCGGAGAGGAUGGCGGAAUUCCCCAAGUAGAGGUGAAAUUCGUAGAUAUGGGGAGGAACACCGGUGGCGAAGGCGGCCAUCUGGACGGAUACUGACGCUGAGACGCGAAACGUGGGGAGCAAACAGG
rnacentral:rRNA from 1 species